rnacentral:pre_miRNA from 1 species
CAUAUACUCCCUCCGUUCGGAAUUACUUGUCACAUAAAUGGAUGUAUCUAGAUGUAUUUUAGUUCUAGAUACAUCCAUUUCCGAGACAAGUAAUUCCGAACGGAGGGAGUACCUU